AGAAUCAACGCUGGCGGCGUGCCUAACACAUGCAAGUCGAACGAGAAAGUGGAGCAAUCCAUGAGUAAAGUGGCGCACGGGUGAGUAACACGUGACUAACCUACCCUUGAGUGGGGGAUAACCUAGAGAAAUCUGGGCUAAUACCGCAUAAUACCUUCGGGUCAAAGGAGCAAUUCGCUUAAGGAGGGGGUCGCGGCCGAUUAGUUAGUUGGCGGGGUAAUGGCCCACCAAGACUAUGAUCGGUAUCCGGCCUGAGAGGGCGCACGGACACACUGGAACUGAAACACGGUCCAGACUCCUACGGGAGGCAGCAGUGGGGAAUUUGCGCAAUGGGGGAAACCCUGACGCGAGCAACGCCGCGUGGAGGAUGAAGUCCCUUGGGACGUAAACUCCUUUCGAUCGGGACGAUAAUGACGGUACCGAGAGAAGAAGCCCCGGCUAACGUUCGUGCCAGCAGCCGC
rnacentral:rRNA from 1 species